rnacentral:rRNA from 1 species
CCUACGGGAGGCAGCAGUGGGGAAUAUUGCACAAUGGGGGAAACCCUGAUGCAGCGACGCCGCGUGAGUGAAGAAGUAAUUCGUUAUGUAAAGCUCUUUUGUCAGGGAGCAACGCCGGCUACGUGUAGCCGGACUGAGAGUACCUGAAGAAAAAGCAUCGGCUAACUCCGUGCCAGCAGCCGCGGUAAUACGGAGGAUGCGAGCGUUAUCCGGAUGUAGUGGGGGUAAAGGGUGCGUAGGCGGGCUGCCCAGUCAGCGGUUAAAUCGCGGGGCUCCACCUCGCUCCGCCGUUGAAACUGGCGGUCUUGAGUGGGCGAGCACUAUGCGGAAUGCGUGGUGUAGCGGUGAAAUGCAUAGAUAUCACGCAGAACUCCGAUUGCGAAGGCAGCAUACCGGCGCCCAACUGACGC